rnacentral:piRNA from 1 species
UGACAAUUGGUUGGGUUUAUCUGGAG